rnacentral:rRNA from 1 species
AACGAACGCUGGCGGCAUGCCUAACACAUGCAAGUCGAACGAGACCUUCGGGUCUAGUGGCGCACGGGUGCGUAACGCGUGGGAACCUGCCCUUAGGUUCGGAAUAACUCCCCGAAAGGGGUGCUAAUACCAGAUAAUGUCUUCGGACCAAAGAUUUAUUGCCUUUGGAUGGGCCCGCGUUGGAUUAGCUAGUUGGUAGGGUAAAAGCCUACCAAGGCGACGAUCCAUAGCUGGUCUGAGAGGAUGAUCAGCCACACUGGGACUGAGACACGGCCCAGACUCCUACGGGAGGCAGCAGUGGGGAAUAUUGGACAAUGGGCGAAAGCCUGAUCCAGCAAUGCCGCGUGAGUGAUGAAGGCCUUAGGGUUGUAAAGCUCUUUUACCCGGGAUGAUAAUGACAGUACCGGGAGAAUAAGCUCCGGCUAACUCCGUG